GCCCCCGUGGCGCAAUGGUAGCGCGUCAGACUUCUAAUCUGAAGGUUGCGAGUUCGAGCCUCGCCGGGGGCU